AGGUGCAGCUGGUGGAGUCUGGGGGAGCCGUGGUGAAGCUUGGGGGGGUCUCUGAGACUCUCCUGUGCAGCCUCUGGAUUCACCUUCAGUAGCUAUGCCAUGAGCUGGGUCCGCCAGACUCCAGGGAAGGGGUUGGAGUGGGUCUCAGCUAAUAGUACUGGUGGUAGCACAUACUAUGCAGACUCUGUGAAAGGCCGAUUCACCAUCUCCAGAGACAACGCCAAGAACAUGCUGUAUCUGCAAAUGAACAGCCUGAAAUCUGAGGACUCGGCCGUGUAUUUCUGUGCGAGACACAGUGA